rnacentral:rRNA from 1 species
AGCGCGGCCUGGGGUUCGGGAUCCUUGUGAACGCGUGCACUUUCGGCGGACAGAGAGCAACAACCGGUUCGGCGAGCUGCGACAGGCCGGGAGGGUUGCAGGUGGGGGCGCUCUCUUCCCUACCAGCCUUCCCCGGUUAGCCGCCGUCGGACCGAGGGACCGCCGCGCGUUUCGAGGCCACCCUCCCCUCCGGGUGAGUUCGACUGGGAGAGA